GGCAGAGGUUGCAUACGUAGGCAGGCAGAUGGCAAAAUAUCCUGAGUAAAUGCCUAGAUAAACUGGGAAGGUGGUGCAUGGUCUGGAGCCAGCUAUCAGAAUCCAAAAAGUGGCUAAUCCAAAGAACCACAUGGUGGGGGUAAUGUUCUCCACAUAUCUCACUUACUCAAGCAUUUUUUUUAAACAUGUGAAAAUAAGAUGCAUGGAGAUGUGAUUACAGUAGUGCACAGAACACAAUGUAUUCUUCAGAACCUGGAUCUUUUGAUCUUUACCAAGCAAAUACCUACAAGAGUGAUUCUGACUCAAAGAACAGAUAAGCAUCAUUUUGCUAAAGGAAAAAAGUACUGUGGCUGCUGGCUGGUAUGCGCUGGAGAAAAAAAGGAAAACCAAAUACUUAUAACAAAUGUGCAUAGUUAAAGCAAGAUCUGCCCACUGGCUAUGUCAAAAAAGUAUGUGUCAUUCUUCAUCUUGAGUCAAUCAACUCUAUUUAAAAGCAGAGAGAUCUGGAUAUUCUGCUGAGGAAGCAGCUACUUGUUCUCCAGUGAAUAAUCAAGUAGACUCUCAGAUGCUGUCAUGUAGAAGAACAUUCAUGGCAAAGAGUUGGAAACUGAGGAAAUGUUCAUCAGUUGG